rnacentral:rRNA from 1 species
UACGUAGGGUGCGAGCGUUUAAUCGGAAUUACUGGGCGUAAAAGCGUGCGCAGGCGGCGGCUCAAGUCAGGUGUGAAAAUCCCCCGGGGCUUAACCUGGGAACUGCAUUCGAGACUGCAUUUGCUAGAGUAUGGGGAGAGGGGAAGUGGAAUUUCCGGUGUAGCGGUGAAAAUGCGUAGAUAUCGGAAGGAAACAUCAGUGGCGAAAAGCGA